rnacentral:rRNA from 1 species
AUUGAACGCUGGCGGCAUGCUUUACACAUGCAAGUCGAACGGUAACAGGCCGCAAGGUGCUGACGAGUGGCGAACGGGUGAGUAAUGCAUCGGAACGUGCCCAGUCGUGGGGGAUAACUACUCGAAAGAGUAGCUAAUACCGCAUACGAUCUAUGGAUGAAAGCGGGGGACCGUAAGGCCUCGCGCGAUUGGAGCGGCCGAUGUCAGAUUAGGUAGUUGGUGGGGUAAAGGCUCACCAAGCCAACGAUCUGUAGCUGGUCUGAGAGGACGACCAGCCACACUGGGACUGAGACACGGCCCAGACUCCUACGGGAGGCAGCAGUGGGGAAUUUUGGACUAUGGGCGCAAGCCUGAUCCAGCAAUGCCGCGUGCAGGAAGAAGGCCUUCGGGUUGUAAACUGCUUUUGUACGGAACGAAACGGCUCUGGUUAAUACCCGGGGCUAAUGACGGUACCGUAAGAAUAAGCACCGGCUAACUACGUG